rnacentral:rRNA from 1 species
AGGGAAUCUUCCGCAAUGGACGAAAGUCUGACGGAGCAACGCCGCGUGAGUGAAGAAGGCCUUCGGGUCGUAAAACUCUGUUGUCGGGGAAGAACAAGUGCCGUCCGAACAGGGCGGCGCCUUGACGGUACCCGGCCAGAAAGCCACGGCUAACUACGUGCCAGCAGCCGCGGUAAUACGUAGGUGGCAAGCGUUGUCCGGAAUUAUUGGGCGUAAAGCGCGCGCAGGCGGCUUCUUAAGUCUGAUGUGAAAUCUUGCGGCUCAACCGCAAGCGGUCAUUGGAAACUGGGGGGCUUGAGUGCAGAAGAGGAGAGUGGAAUUCCACGUGUAGCGGUGAAAUGCGUAGAGAUGUGGAGGAACACCAGUGGCGAAGGCGACUCUCUGGGCUGUAACUGACGCUGAGGCGCGAAAGCGUGGGGAGCAAAC